GAUGAACGCUGGCGGCGUGCCUAAUACAUGCAAGUCGAGCGAACAGGCGAGGAGCUUGCUCCUCUGACGUUAGCGGCGGACGGGUGAGUAACACGUGGAUAACCUACCUAUAAGACUGGGAUAACUUCGGGAAACCGGAGCUAAUACCGGAUAACAUGUUGAACCGCAUGGUUCAACAGUGAAAGACGGUCUUGCUGUCACUUAUAGAUGGAUCCGCGCCGCAUUAGCUAGUUGGUAAGGUAACGGCUUACCAAGGCAACGAUGCGUAGCCGACCUGAGAGGGUGAUCGGCCACACUGGAACUGAGACACGGUCCAGACUCCUACGGGAGGCAGCAGUAGGGAAUCUUCCGCAAUGGGCGAAAGCCUGACGGAGCAACGCCGCGUGAGUGAAGAAGGUCUUCGGAUCGUAAAACUCUGUUAUUAGGGAAGAACAAAUGUGUAAGUAACUAUGCACGUUUUGACGGUACCUAAUCAGAAAGCCACGGCUAACUACGUG
rnacentral:rRNA from 1 species